CUCACCAAAACCGAGGGACAAUCAGUGAGUUCACAUGAAAUAUGCAGAUCUGGUGCGUCAUGAUGUGCUUCUUGACACACAAAGCACUGGAGCGUCCCUGGGUCCUGAACAGGUCCCCGCUGGACAGAGAGGAGGAGGUCUGAGCAGAGUGAUUUCACUACCUUCUGCACCACUGAAGGCGUACUCUGCAGACAGCAAGAGGUUUCAAACUGGGAGCCCCUGAGCAGGAGCCACCGCGAGCUUUGGGGAAGCAAUGCCACAGGAAAAGGGACAGCAAUAAAGCAAAGACACUACUCAGGAGCAACCCAUGGGUUAAAUCAGCUUUAAUGGACGUACCCAGAGAAGAAUACAAUUAAUUCCCACAUCUUGAAUCUGAAUAACAUGUCAAUUCAUUAGACAAGGCAUAAACAAAGCACACUGCUGAUGAAGUGUGUGAUGAGUCACCUAAUUGAACAGGGAUGUGUGUCAUUAUAUAAGUAGAAAAACAGAUUAAAAGUACCACCCAAAUGCC